rnacentral:rRNA from 1 species
GAUGAACGCUGGCGGCGUGCCUAAUACAUGCAAGUCGAGCGAACGGACGAGAAGCUUGCUUCUCUGAUGUUAGCGGCGGACGGGUGAGUAGCACGUGGAUAACCUACCUAUAAGACUGGGAUAACUUCGGGAAACCGGAGCUAAUACCGGAUGAUAUUUUGAACCGCAUGGUUCAAAAGUGAAAGACGGUCUUGCUGUCACUUAUAGAUGGAUCCGCGCUGCAUUAGCUAGUUGGUAAGGUAACGGCUUACCAAGGCAACGAUGCAUAGCCGACCUGAGAGGGUGAUCGGCCACACUGGAACUGAGACACGGUCCAGACUCCUACGGGAGGCAGCAGUAGGGAAUCUUCCGCAAUGGGCGAAAGCCUGACGGAGCAACGCCGCGGGAGUGAUGAAGGUCUUCGGAUCGUAAAACUCUGUUAUUAGGGAAGAACAUAUGUGUAAGUAACUGUGCACAUCUUGACGGUACCUAAUCAGAAAACCACGGCUAACUACGU